GGACUUGGAGGAUGGGAAUUGAGAUGAGAGGGGAGCUUCUUGUCUUGGUAUCGAUUUCAGUUUUGGUGGGAUGGUGAAGAAUACAGAAGGACUGCAAGAAGCGGUACGUUAUGGAGUUUGUGGUUUCGGCAGAACUAAAAAUGGUUGUUGUUCUGUUGUGGAGAUGGAGACUUGAGGUUCUUGGAUACCUGCAAUUUGGAGUAUCGGAGAAGAUGAGCUACAGGGGUAGCUUUGGUUGAAAUCGAAUAAGAGGUCCGAAUGGGUUGAUAGUGAUGGACUGCAGCAACUAGAAAUAGCCUCUGGCUGGGGAAAAGAAGAAUGGUAAGGGACUGUGUAUUUUGGAAACUGUUUGGCCGUGUACUGUUUGUACUGAUCAAAGUUAUGGUUUUAUUGAGUAUGCGUGAUAUAAAUUUGGUUAUGGUAAUUGAGUGAUUGGUUAUGUUGGAAAUGUCAUUGUUAUAAGGUGAAUGACUAAAUCAGUGAGCUCUUUAAAGAAGUUGUAAAUUGCAAGUUAAAUCGUUGUUGUGAAAGAAAAUGUUGAGCA